rnacentral:rRNA from 1 species
GACGAACGCUGGCGGCGUGCUUAACACAUGCAAGUCGAACGAUGAACCGCUUUCGGGCGGGGAUUAGUGGCGAACGGGUGAGUAACACGUGGGCAAUCUGCCCUGCACUCUGGGACAAGCCCUGGAAACGGGGUCUAAUACCGGAUAUGACUGUCCAUCGCAUGGUGGAUGGUGUAAAGCUCCGGCGGUGCAGGAUGAGCCCGCGGCCUAUCAGCUUGUUGGUGAGGUAGUGGCUCACCAAGGCGACGACGGGUAGCCGGCCUGAGAGGGCGACCGGCCACACUGGGACUGAGACACGGCCCAGACUCCUACGGGAGGCAGCAGUGGGGAAUAUUGGGCAAUGGGCGCAACCCUGACCCAGCGACGCCGCGUGAGGGAUGAAGGUCUUCGGAUUGUAAACCCCUUCAGUGGGGAAGAAGCGAAAGUGACGGUACCCAAAGAAGAAGCACCGGCUAACUAUGUGCCAGCAGCCGCGGUAAUACAUAGGGUGCAAGCGUUGUCCGGAAUUAUUGGGGCGUAAAGAGCUCGUAGGUGGUUUUAUCACGUCGGAUGUGAAAUUCUGAGGCUCAACCUCGGACCUUGCAUUCGAUACGGGCAAACUAGAGUGUGGUAGGGGAGACUGGAAUUCCUGGUGUAGCGGUGGAAUGCGCAGAUAUCAGGAGGAACACCAAUGGCGAAGGCAGGUCUCUGGGCCAUUACUGACACUGAGGAGCGAAAGCGCGGGGAGCGAACAGGAUUAGAUACCCUGGUAGUCCGCGCCGUAAACGGUGGGCACUAGUUGUGGGAACCUUCCACGGUUUCCGCGACGCAGCUAACGCAUUAAGUGCCCCGCCUGGGGAGUACGAUCGCAAGAUUAAAACUCAAAGGAAUUGACGGGGCCCCGCACAAGCAGCGGAGCAUGCGGCUUAAUUCGACGCAACGCGAAGGACCUUACCAAGGCUUGACGUAUAGAGAAAAGUGGC